UGUGCUCUUCCGAUGUGUGGGGUCGCGGUCGUCGUCGCGCACCGCGACGCGCGGCUGGCGUUCGGCCGGCGGCGAACGGUCGACUCGGAACUGGUACGGACCGGGGGAAUCCGACUGUCUAAU